UUUUCGUAGGUGAACCUGCGGAAGGAUCAUUCAUAAUAAGUGUUCUACUGCACUUUUUAAAAAUAGUACUCACCUUGUGUGCAAUGUCGUGUGAACUUCUACUUGUAGAAGUCCACACCUACACCAACCUAUAACCUUGAACCACUUUGUCUGAAAAACUAUUAUGAAUACUUAAUUCAAAAUACAACUUUCAACAACGGAUCUCUUGGCUCUCACAUCGAUGAAGAACGCAGC
rnacentral:misc_RNA from 1 species